rnacentral:misc_RNA from 1 species
AGAACAUUUUCAGUUUCAAUAUGUUGCUAAUAUGUAACAACAGUAGGGGAAAACUCUUAUAUGCAACUACACUUCUCGUUUUGGACCGGCAAAGAAAAUUUAUGCGUCUAAGAUAUUUAAAAAAAAUACACUCUCCAAUUGCAAGAUGGACAAAAUAGGUCACUAAUCAACAGUCAUGGCUUCUGAGCCACCACUGGCAUCCUCCAUCCCAUUUUUCUGUUCUUCCGUUGCCAUUCUCAUCUCCUCCAUCAAAUUCUUCUGAUCUUCCUCUAUAUUAUUUUGCAACUCAUCAACCACGUGCAACAAAAGAGCAAACUG